AAUACAAAGAAUAUAAGCCCAAAUACGAGGUAUUUCACAUAUUCAGUUGUCGAGUUCCCUCGACCUUCUCUGAUCUCCAUCAUCAGGUCAAAUCCAAACCUUCCCUGUUGCAAAGGUCUCGUCAAUACAAAUAAUAUGAGCCCAAACACGAGGUACUUUACACAUUCUGUUGUCGAGUUCCCUCGACCCUCUCUGGUCUCCAGCAUCAGGUCAACUCCAAACCUUCACUGUUGCAAAGGUCUCGUCAAUACAAAUAAUAUGAGCCCAAACACGAGGUACUUUACACAUUCUGUUGUCGAGUUCCCUCGACCCUCUCUGGUCUCCAGCAUCAGGUCAACUCCAAACCUUCACUGUUGAAUAGUGUUUUUA
rnacentral:lncRNA from 1 species